rnacentral:rRNA from 1 species
AUGAGUUUCAUCAAUCGCUACCUGCAGGACCUGGAGAUCACCGCUGCUUCUUUACCGAAAGCUAACGCAGGAGCGCUUCCGCGCCGGGUGCGUCGGGGGUGGCUUCCACCGGCAGAAACAGAAGUGAAGAUAAAUUUGGAUGGAGGUUUAUCUCGCGGUGGAAACAGAGGUGCAGCAGCAGCUAUUUGCAGAGACUGCAAUGGAACCUUCCUUGGAGCAUCAGCUGUUGUGUUCGAUGGAAUCUUUGAUCCAGCCAGUUUGGAAGCGUGGGCAUGCAAUGAGGCUUUGGCCUUGGGCCAGGACUUGCAUGUUCAGCGACUUCUAAUCGCCUCUGAUUGUGCCGAAGUAAUCACCAAUAUGAGCCGAGACACAGCUGCAGUUUAUGCGCCAAUUCUGCAUGAGAUAGUUAUUCGCAGAAGGAAUUUUGAGCAGGUUGUCUUUCGUCAUGAACCGAGGGAAUGUAUUAGUGAGGCUCAUAGAUUAGCUAAGGCCGCGUCGACUCUUGACGUGGGCCGCCAUGUGUGGCUAGGGACUGUCCCGGACAUUAUUUGUAUUCCAAACUCUUUGAACUUUGAAUAA